GCUUCAGUUGGUACAAUGUAGAAAAGGAGUGAAAAUUAAUAGACUAUUAAUGGGACAACCUUUCCACGUGGAUGCAUAAUGGAAUAGGAGAAAUGACUCACCCAUUAUUGUUGAAUGAUCUGGUGCAUCCUAGUAAUAGGUAUUCAAUUCAUACGGUUGGGAUUAAAAUAAAAAAAUGGACUUUCUAGCCCAUUAAGUAGAUACAACACUUUAGGUAUAAUUUUGCAUUCUGAUCUUCUUCAACUAAAACAUGAAUAGUAACUUGAGAGCUUUAGCUAUAUUAGGAAAUUCCACAUGAACUUGGAAGCAACGUGUGGAGGUGAAACGAUUCCGUUGUGCUGAAGCAAAGCGUGAAGAACAUCAUACGGGUUUUGUUCUCCUCUUUGAUCGCCUUGUUUUGUUUUGUCAUGUUAUUAAAUUCGGGCCUUUUUGAAGGGAAGUAAAGUGGAAGAAGAUCAUUUCUUGGCAUAUAAGGUUUAUCAUAUUAAUUGUGGAAGUUCUUGGCUGGACUGAGCUCUUGAACGACGUAAGGUACAGAUGCUCACGUUGGUAACCCGCCAGCUUAGGAGUCCUAUUCAGCUAUCUUGGAGAGCUCCCUUGUUCCGGAGCCUAGAUUUUGGUACAAAAUAUCUUGUGGUGUAUAUAUGUUUUUGUCCAGGGGUACGACGGGGCCCUGUCCCGUCAUAUGUUACUGUUGAUACUCUUAGAGGUCUGUAGACAUGUAUGUGGGUUGUGUACAGGUUUGAUCAGCUGUGUCCAUAUGGUUAUUGCGGA